rnacentral:rRNA from 1 species
GGAAUAGCCUCGGGAAACUGAGAGUAAUACCGUAUACGCCCUUCGGGGGAAAGAUUUAUCGGAGAAGGAUCGGCCCGCGUCUGAUUAGAUAGUUGGUGGGGUAAUGGCCUACCAAGUCUACGAUCAGUAGCUGGUUUUAGAGGAUGAUCAGCAACACUGGGACUGAGACACGGCCCAGACUCCUACGGGAGGCAGCAGUGGGGAAUCUUAGACAAUGGGCGCAAGCCUGAUCUAGCCAUGCCGCGUGAGUGAUGAAGGCCUUAGGGUCGUAAAGCUCUUUCGCCAGAGAUGAUAAUGACAGUAUCUGGUAAAGAAACCCCGGCUAACUCCGUGCCAGCAGCCGCGGUAAUACGGAGGGGGUUAGCGUUGUUCGGAAUUACUGGGCGUAAAGCGCACGUAGGCGGAUCAGAAAGUUGGGGGUGAAAUCCCAGGGCUCAACCCUGGAACGGCCUCCAAAACUCCUGGUCUUGAGUUCGAGAGAGGUGAGUGGAAUUCCGAGUGUAGAGGUGAAAUU